rnacentral:rRNA from 1 species
GACGGAGGGGGCUAGCGUUGUUCGGAAUGACUGGGCGUAAAGGGCGCGUAGGCGGUUUUUUAAGUGAGGCGUGAAAGCCCUGGGCUUAACCCAGGAGGUGCGCUUCAUACUGGAAAGCUUGAGUGCGAGAGAGGAAAGUGGAAUUCCUAGUGUAGAGGUGAAAUUCGUAGAUAUUAGGAAGAACACCCGUGGCGAAGGCGACUUUCUGGCUCGCAACUGACGCUGAGGCGCGAAAGCGUGGGGAGCAAACAGG